rnacentral:piRNA from 1 species
UUGUGUAGCCCUGAAGACCAUACCAUGC